GACGAACGCUGGCGGCGUGCCUAAUACAUGCAAGUAGAACGCACAGUUUAUACCGUAGCUUGCUACACCAUAAACUGUGAGUUGCGAACGGGUGAGUAACGCGUAGGUAACCUGCCUGGUAGCGGGGGAUAACUAUUGGAAACGAUAGCUAAUACCGCAUAAUAUUGAUUAUUGCAUGAUAAUUGAUUGAAAGAUGCUAUUGCAUCACUACCAGAUGGACCUGCGUUGUAUUAGCUAGUAGGUGAGGUAACGGCUCACCUAGGCGACGAUACAUAGCCGACCUGAGAGGGUGAUCGGCCACACUGGGACUGAGACACGGCCCAGACUCCUACGGGAGGCAGCAGUAGGGAAUCUUCGGCAAUGGACGAAAGUCUGACCGAGCAGCGCCGCGUGAGUGAAGAAGGUUGUCGGAUCGUAAAGCUCUGUUGUAAGAGAAGAACGGGUGUGAGAGUGGAAAGUUCACACUGUGACGGUAUCUUACCAGAAAGGGACGGCUAACUACGUG
rnacentral:rRNA from 1 species